rnacentral:lncRNA from 1 species
AUAAAAAUGAGAAAAUUCAAAAACUUAUCAUACAAACAAGGAGUUAUACACACGAGGAGUUCAAAUGAUCAUACUCCACAUGAGCUCAUAAUCACAAGGAUGCAACACAACAAGAGAAUGUCUCAUCACAAAAUACAACAAGGAAUAGAAAUGAUCACAACAAGCCUCAUCUCACUCCUCAAGCAUCUGAACAAGCGUCAUCUCACUCCUCAAGCAUCUGAACAAGCGUCAUCUCACUCCCAAAGCAUCUCAACAAGCCUCAUCUCAAGCAUCUCAACAAGCCUCAUCUCACUCCUCAAGCAUCUCAACAAGCGUCAUGUUAAGCACUAGUGAACUCUCUCCAUUAGCCCUAAAUUGUGUAGGGCAUUUGCAUACACCUCUCGAGGGCAUGAAAGCCGUAGAGGUAGAAUUCCAAGAUUCUCC